GCGCGCUACACUGAUGCAAUCAACGAGCCUAUCCUUGACCGACAGGUCCGGGUAAUCUUUGAAACUGCAUCGUGAUGGGGAUAGAUUAUUGCAAUUAUUAAUCUUCAACGAGGAAUGCCUAGUAAGCGCGAGUCAUCAGCUCGCGUUGAUUACGUCCCUGCCCUUUGUACACACCGCCCGUCGCUCCUACCGAUUGGGUGUGCUGGUGAAGUGUUCGGAUUGGCGGCAGUGGGCGGUUCGCCGCUUGCUGCAGCCGAGAAGUUCUCUAAACCCUCCCACCUAGAGGAAGGAGAAGUCGUAACAAGGUUUCCGUAGGUGAACCUGCGGAAGGAUCAUUG
rnacentral:rRNA from 2 species